UGUGAUGACCAACAACGCGAGUUGAUUCUCACGCGAAUAAAAGUUCAUUUAAAUGCAUUGAAGAAGUAUACCUAUGGAAAGCAUAUCGUUGCUCGUGUAGAGAAACUUGUUGCUGCUGGGGGUAUGCUUUCUUUUCUUGUGGCUGCACAGUCUCUGCACGCCGCUUAGGUGGCAUAGGAAAGAAAGUUUGUACAGCUAACUGAGGCUAGUUUGAGCUUCAUCUCUUUCUUCCUUCC
rnacentral:misc_RNA from 1 species